rnacentral:rRNA from 1 species
GGGGAAUUUUGCGCAAUGGGGGCAACCCUGACGCAGCAACGCCGCGUGCGGGACGACGGCCUUCGGGUUGUAAACCGCUUUCAGCAGGGAAGACCGACGACGGUACCUGCAGAAGAAGCCCCGGCUAACUACGUGCCAGCAGCCGCGGUAAUACGUAGGGGGCGAGCGUUAUCCGGAUUCAUUGGGCGUAAAGCGCGCGUAGGCGGCGCGCCAAGCGGAACCUCUAACCUCGGGGCUCAACCUCGAGCCGGGUUCCGAACUGGCGCGCUCGAGUUCGGUAGAGGCAGGCGGAAUUCCCGGUGUAGCGGUGGAAUGCGCAGAUAUCGGGAAGAACACCGAUGGCGAAGGCAGCCUGCUGGGCCGACACUGACGCUGAGGUGCGAAAGCUAGGGGAGCGAAC